UUAAGUGACUGUAAUACAGUAAAUAUGGCGUAAUAACAAAACUUCCUGUUUAGGGGGGGUGGUAUUUCACCGUAGAAGUUUUGUCGUAUUCAGAUAAGCAGUCAUGCCCAAGCAACCCUGUGCAGAUGGGUAGCUGUGAACCAUACACUACUCUCUACCACGCUGUGCUCAUAUACGAUAAGGAUGACGUAGACGACGUCUUGACACUACAAACACGUCUAAACAAUAUAGUUCUCCGUCACGAUAUAUCCGCGAAGGUGGCACUGCUGGAUGACAUAGAAGCCGACGGAGGAACGGAAAUCGCAUCAUUCGAUGCGUGUUUCAAACAAUGUGUUUUAUUCUUUUUAUACAUAACGAAACCAUUUAUGCAAAACCGCUAUGAUAAAUGGAAGCACGAAGUGGCACUGACUAAUUCCUUGGCACGUGGAUCUGAUAUAGACCGUGAACCUUUUGUUAUUCCGAUUUUCACGGACAAUAAAGAUACAGUAGGUUAUCUUAGAGAUAAACCUACGCUUACAGCUGUAUCUGGCAUCACAUAUCGCGGCUGUGAAUGGAAUCGGGGCGUGGAAAGAAGCUUCCGCAAAAACCUGGAGAAGGCACAAGAAAGACGGCAUGUCAAACUAAAUGGGACUCCAGUGGAUCAACUAGACUAACAUCUAGUCUCUGAAAUGAACAUAUCGUACAUAAAAAAACAAUCUUAAUAAAAAUAUAAUAAAAAGGAGCCCAGUGACUCUCUUCAUUUUCUGCAGUGAUCUAGACUUGCCAAACAUUAUAGACUUGCAUGGGCUGUAUUUGAUAUAUAUUUGUAUCAGGGUCUGUAAGACAGACUAUGGAUCAACCAGACUGACAACUUCUUUGAUGGACAUUUAGAAGUUGGAGUACUAAGUAAGGAUAAGAAUUUAUGGAUGAACAACUUCUUUAUUACAAUUAAGAGCAACGUUUCGGUGUAGGUUCUAACACCGUUAUCAAGCAAGUGACAGACUGACAGUUGAUGCAGUGUUCCAUUAACACAUCACACGAUCAGUUGUUCCUGUUUGGACAAUGACGUGUGACUUCUAACAAAGGUGGUGUGGUACUCACUGUGAAUAUUUCCUAGGGAGCUGACGAUGAAGUACGAAGGUACCCUAAUCCAUCAACAGUAGCAGGAAGUAUUGCCGCGCGCGCUUCGGCGUCAUGUAACGUGGCGUGGAGUUGCAUUACAUAAACGAGAAACUUUCUUUCGUCAACAUUAAGUAUUCUUAUGUGAUACAUAAAUCAUAAUAAACGUGUAUGUAUAUAUGAAUUUUUAUUCUUCAUAAUAAAUGCAUUUGUAAAUAUUA